rfam:Cricetulus griseus cell line CHO-K1, whole genome shotgun sequence.
GGAGAGAUGGCUUAACGGUUAAGAGCACUGGCCACUCUUCCAGAGGACCUGGGUUCAAUUCCCAGCACCUACA